AUUGAACGCUGGCGGUAGGCCUAACACAUGCAAGUCGAACGGCAGCACAGUAAGAGCUUGCUCUUACGGGUGGCGAGUGGCGGACGGGUGAGGAAUACAUCGGAAUCUACUUUUUCGUGGGGGAUAACGUAGGGAAACUUACGCUAAUACCGCAGACGAACUACGGGUGAAAGCAGGGGAUCUUCGGACCUUGCGCGAUUGAAUGAGCCGAUGUCGGAUUAGCUAGUUGGCGGGGUAAAGGCCCACCAAGGCGACGAUCCGUAGCUGGUCUGAGAGGAUGAUCAGCCACACUGGAACUGAGACACGGUCCAGACUCCUACGGGAGGCAGCAGUGGGGAAUAUUGGACAAUGGGCGCAAGCCUGAUCCAGCCAUACCGCGUGUGUGAAGAAGGCCUUCGGGUUGUAAAGCCCUUUUGUUGGGAAAGAAAAGCAGCAGGUUAAUACCCCGCUGUUCUGACGGUACCCAAAGAAUAAGCACCGGCUAACUUCGUG
rnacentral:rRNA from 1 species